rnacentral:rRNA from 1 species
CUACGUGCCAGCAGCCGCGGUAAUACGGAGGGUGCGAGCGUUAAUCGGAAUAACUGGGCGUAAAGGGCACGCAGGCGGUGACUUAAGUGAGGUGUGAAAGCCCCGGGCUUAACCUGGGAAUUGCAUUUCAUACUGGGUCGCUAGAGUACUUUAGGGAGGGGUAGAAUUCCACGUGUAGCGGUGAAAUGCGUAGAGAUGUGGAGGAAUACCGAAGGCGAAGGCAGCCCCUUGGGAAUGUACUGACGCUCAUGUGCGAAAGCGUGGGGAGCAAACAGGAUUAGAUACCCUGGUAGUCCACGCUGUAAACGAUGUCGAUUUGGGGGUUGAGCUUUGAGCUUGGCGCCCGUAGCUAACGUGAUAAAUCGACCGCCUGGGGAGUACGGCCGCAAGGUUAAAACUCAAAUGAAUUGACGGGGGCCCGCACAAGCGGUGGAGCAUGUGGUUUAAUUCGAUGCAACGCGAAGAACCUUACCUACUCUU